CGCAUCGAUGAAGAACGUAGCGAAAUGCGAUACUUGGUGUGAAUUGCAGAAUCCCGUGAACCAUCGAGUCUUUGAACGCAAGUUGCGCCCGAGGCUAUUUGGCCGAGGGCACGCCUGCCUGGGCGUCAUG
rnacentral:rRNA from 1 species